rnacentral:rRNA from 1 species
AUUGAACGCUGGCGGCAGGCCUAACACAUGCAAGUCGAGCGGAUGAAGGGAGCUUGCUCCUGGAUUCAGCGGCGGACGGGUGAGUAAUGCCUAGGAAUCUGCCUCGUAGUGGGGGAUAACGUCCGCAAACGGGCGCUAAUACCGCAUACGUCCUGAGGGAGAAAGUGGGGGAUCUUCGGACCUCACGCUAUCAGAUGAGCCUAGGUCGGAUUAGCUAGUUGGUUGGGUAAAGGCCUACCAAGGCGACGAUCCGUAACUGGUCUGAGAGGAUGAUCAGUCACACUGGAACUGAGCCACGGUCCAGACUCCUACGGGAGGCCGCAGUGGGGAAUAUUGGACAAUGGGCGAAAGCCUGAUCCAGCCAUGCCGCGUGUGUGAAGAAGGUCUUCGGAUUGUAAAGCACUUUAAGUUGGGAGGAAGGGCAGUAAGUUAAUACCUUGCUGUUUUGACGUUACCAACAGAAUAAGCACCGGCUAACUUCGUG